rnacentral:sRNA from 1 species
GCCAGGCGAGGUGGCGCACACCUGUAAUCUCAGGUGCUCGGGAGGCUGAGAUAGGAGGAUCAUGAGUUCAAAGCCAGCCUCAGCAAUGGUGAGGUGCUUAGCAACUCAGUGAGACCCUGUCUCUA